GGGGUCAAUCUUAGUUUCUACUAAGGGACAAGCUAGAGUUAUAUGCUAUAAGGGAGAUGUUUGUGACUUCCUUAAUCAAUUACAAACAAACAUAAAUGCAAACAAUAGAAUUGCAAAUGGGUUUAACGCAUUAGCAACUUAUGCUAAAAAUGCAGGAAGAAAUGUUCUUGCUAGCUUAAAUCCUUUAUGAGUUGUUGCCUAGUUAUUUCUAGUUUCAACUCAGUAGCCUCUUUUUAGAUGAAUGCCGGCUGGCUUGCUACACAUUUUAUAGAAAUUUCAGCUCUUAAAGUUCUAUAAAAUUACAAAUUAGAGUUUUUCUUCUAGGGUUUUGAUUUAGUCUUCUAGCUAGAAAAUAUUUAUAGAUUAAAUCUUCACAUUUGUUUUUUGUUUAUUUUUUAUAAAUGUGUGAGACAAAAUAAACUAUUAUAGUAGAAGUAUUUCAUUAGCCUCUUAGGACACGGGGGCAGAACCCGUUGGCUCCACCA
rnacentral:tmRNA from 1 species